UAUGUCCGGGCGUGACAAUAAUUGUUACAGCACCUUGCAAAUUGUUACUACGAAAAGCACUGCAUUAUACAUAUUACCAUCAGUUUUGAAUUAAGCGAUUAUUACGUAACCUUAAAAAAAUAAUUGUUAAUUGGAAAAUUAUUGCUGCUUGUGAUUUGACCGCAUUUUCAUGUGAUAUAAUCGACUUUGACGAAGGUUGAAAUUUAAGUUUGCUAUAGUAAAUAAAAGGAGAAACCUUUAAUUGGUAAGGGCUAGAAGAUUACAAUCAACUGGCAACAUUUCUCGUAGGAAAUGAAAUAUAUUCCUGUCGCUUUUCUUUCAAGAUUGUUGUUAUUUGAAAUGUUUUUAAGGUUUAUGAAAUGACAAAAGAAGGAAAUCGAUGUUUUUUAAUAAAAAUCCAUUUACGUAACUCGAUAAAUUUGCUAAAUUUGCUCCAUCGAAAGUCAAUGGCUCGCAUCGCAAGGCGUUAAAAUUUUACUACCGAUCUUCUAGCACCGCACCCCAAAGAUGGUAAAAAAUGCGGCUUAAAACCAUCAUGGAUCAUGAAAUCAGAUGUUUUUUUCAGUUUGUGAGAGCAGAUGAAAGCGCCAUAAGUAAAUUAUUUGAGUUACUUUUAUUGGGUGAAAGGGAGAAUGCAGUCGAUUGUUUUCCGCGACUGAUAAAAUCAUCACUUGUUCUGGCGAAAUAAAUAGAGCUGAUUGGGGCUGAAACAGCAGCAAGAAUGUGCAAACAUACGUCGCUUUAGAAAUUUCAUUUACAUGGUUUUACUAUUAUGUGCACUAGUAAACUGUUUAUUUUUAUCUUUUUAUUUAUUAAACACUAACAAUAUUAUUUGAUGUGACUAAGUUUAGAGCCUUUCAAAGUACAACCUGAGUGGAGGUACAUAACUUUGGCUCUUGGUGUGCUGUUUGUGCACGAAACCGACGUCGCUUUUGCCUAUUAAGAUGCAUUAACGCUUUGAAAGAGACAAUAAAUCAAUAAUAUUUUUUGUACUUUAAGAGCUGUGUGUAUCAUAAAAAAUAUUUCAUACUUUUAUGACCAUAAAUAUGGAUAAUGAAAUAACUAUAAAUUAAUUUAUUUUAGGUUCAAAUUUGUUUAUUUUCACAAUACCUAUCCAACUUAAAAUACAUUUUGAAUUGUAAACUAAAACUUGCAACAAAAGCGCAUGAGCAGUUGUGGACUGGAUUAUCGCAAGAACCGUUACCAGCAUUUAGGGUUAAAGAAACGUACGCCAAACUGUUCAAGCUUUCACUGUGCAACAAAAUGCGUCCCGAGCAGCUUUUACUGUUGUUGCUGCUGUGCAUUUCCACAAAUUUCUCGCCACUCGUCGUUACCGCAGAUGAGAACGUGACUUUGCCGGCGUGUCCAGGCAGCUCGUACGACACUGACAGACUGACCUGCUUUCUCUACUGGAAAAGCCUGUUGGAUCGCAGCGGACGCAAUUUGGAUAGCUCGGGACCCAAAAACAUUCCAUUCCGGGACGGCUUGAACCUUCAACAGAUGAACAACGUCAUGGGUUGAAUAUGCACUCUACACUUGUGAAUGCUGAGAAAAACGUCUUGCCUAUCUGACACUGUGUUACACCAAAUAAAUAUCUUAAUUAUGAUAAUAUAUUAAU